rnacentral:rRNA from 1 species
UAGGGAAUCUUCCACAAUGGACGCAAGUCUGAUGGAGCAACGCCGCGUGAGUGAAGAAGGUUUUCGGACCGUAAAGCUCUGUUGUUGGUGAAGAAGGAUAGAGGUAGUAACUGGCCUUUAUUUGACGGUAAUCAACCAGAAAGUCACGGCUAACUACGUGCCAGCAGCCGCGGUAAUCGUAGGUGGCAAGCGUUGUCCGGAUUUAUUGGGCGUAAAGCGAGCGCAGGCGGAAGAAUAAGUCUGAUGUGAAAGCCCUCGGCUUAACCGAGGAAUUGCAUCGGAAACUGU